CUAAAAUACAUUCUCCGAGGCUGUAUUUCCUAAAGAGUAUUCCAUGGAAUACAGCCCUGAGUAAACAUUUUUACUCACGGGGUAUAGCUGGAAACGGUUAUACCUCCCUUUCUUGGAAAGGAGAAUAAGUGAUAGGUUU
rnacentral:ncRNA from 2 species